rnacentral:sRNA from 2 species
CGAGCCCUGCCGCUGAACCCGGGAUUCAAUCGCUUUCAAGCUGGCAGGGACGGGGGAACCAAGUUUCCGCGGCUUCACCGAAGCCUUGGGGUUAAGUCGAUAUCGCCUUCCGUCCCUGACGAAGCGCGCUACCGGCCGGGUAUCUCCAACCCGAACCCGACAGCUCACCCCGCAGGCAUGGGAGAGGCGAUCA